CACCCGAUAGCACACGGCGUGCAUCUGCCUGUUGUAUACGAAUGAUAAGAAGGCCAAUAUGAGCAGAAGACCCCGUUCGACUCGGGGUCGGGUGA